AGUGAACGCUGGCGGUAGGCCUAACACAUGCAAGUCGAACGGCAGCACAGUAAGAGCUUGCUCUUACGGGUGGCGAGUGGCGGACGGGUGAGGAAUACAUCGGAAUCUACUUUUUCGUGGGGGAUAACGUAGGGAAACUUGCGCUAAUACCGCAUACGACCUACGGGUGAAAGCAGGGGAUCUUCGGACCUUGCGCGAUUGAAUGAGCCGAUGUCGGAUUAGCUAGUUGGCGGGGUAAAGGCCCACCAAGGCGACGAUCCGUAGCUGGUCUGAGAGGAUGAUCAGCCAAACUGGAACUGAGACACGGUCCAGACUCCUACGGGAGGCAGCAGUGGGGAAUAUUGGACAAUGGGCGCAAGCCUGAUCCAGCCAUACCGCGUGGGUGAAGAAGGCCUUCGGGUUGUAAAGCCCUUUUGUUGGGAAAGAAAAGCAGCAGGUUAAUACCCCGCUGUUCUGACGGUACCCAAAGAAUAAGCACCGGCUAACUUCGU
rnacentral:rRNA from 1 species